rnacentral:rRNA from 1 species
UACGUAGGGGGCGAGCGUUAUCCGGAAUUAUUGGGCGUAAAGGGUGCGUAGGCGGCCAUUUAAGUCAGGUGUGAAAGGUUACGGCUCAACCGUAAUUAGCACUUGAAACUGGGUGGCUUGAGUGCAGGAGAGGAGAGUGGAAUUCCUAGUGUAGCGGUGAAAUGCGUAGAUAUUAGGAGGAACACCAGUGGCGAAGGCGACUCUCUGGACUGUAACUGACGCUGAGGCACGAAAGCGUGGGGAGCGAACAGGAUUAGAUACCCUGGUAGUCCACGCUGUAAACGAUGAGUACUAGGUGUUGGGGGAGACAUCCUUCAGUGCCGCAGUUAACACAUUAAGUACUCCGCCUGGGGAGUACGGUCGCAAGACUGAA